AACCUCAUUCUUGAUGAGAGUGGGCAUUGUGGACCAUAGUGUCAAGAAAUUGCUAACAUGGCUCAACAGAGGUGCAGGUUAUGCUCCAUGACAGUGAACGUGCUGCAGUGGUAACAAGGUGGCCUGUGACUCUG